rnacentral:rRNA from 1 species
AGCGAACGCUGGCGGCAGGCUUAACACAUGCCAGUCGAGCGGGCACUUCGGUGUCAGCGGCAGACGGGUGAGUAACACGUGGGAACGUACCCUUUGGUUCGGAAUAACGCUGGGAAACUAGCGCUAAUACCGGAUACGCCCUUUUGGGGAAAGGCUUGCUGCCGAAGGAUCGGCCCGCGUCUGAUUAGCUAGUUGGUGAGGUAAUGGCCUACCAAGGCGACGAUCAGUAGCUGGUCUGAGAGGAUGAUCAGCCACACUGGGACUGAGACACGGCCCAGACUCCUACGGGAGGCAGCAGUGGGGAAUAUUGGACAAUGGGCGCAAGCCUGAUCCAGCCAUGCCGCGUGAGUGAUGAAGGCCUUAGGGUUGUAAAGCUCUUUUGUCCGGGACGAUAAUGACGGUACCGGAAGAAUAAGCCCCGGCUAACUUCGUG